rnacentral:rRNA from 1 species
ACUGCUCAGUAACACGUGGACAACCUACCUUGGGACGGGGAUAAACCCGGGAAACUGGGUAUAAUACCCGAUAGAUCUCGGAAGCUGGAAUGCAUCGAGAUCGAAAGCUCCGGUGCCCAAGGAUGGGUCUGCGGCCUAUCAGGUAGUAGUGGGUGUAGCGUACCUACUAGCAUACGACGGGUACGGGUUGUGAGAGCAAGAGCCCGGAGAUGGAUUCUGAGACACGAAUCCAGGCCCUACGGGGUGCAGCAGGCGCGAAAACUUUACAAUGCCGGCAACGGCGAUAAGGGGACCUCGAGUGCCAGGUUACAAAUCUGGCUGUCGUAAUGCCUAAAAAGCAUUUCAUAGCAAGGGCCGGGCAAGACCGGUGCCAGCCGCCGCGGUAACACCGGCGGCUCGAGUGGUAACCGUUAUUAUUGGGUCUAAAGGGUCUGUAGCCGGCCGGAUAAGUCUCUUGGGAAAUCUGGCAGCUUAACUGUCAGGCUUUCAGGGGAUACUGUCUGGCUCGAGGCCGGGAGAGGUGAGAGGUACUUCAGGGGUAGGGGUGAAAUCUUGUAAUCCUUGAAGGACCACCAGUGGCGAAGGCGUCUCACCAGAACGGAUCUGACGGCAAGGGACGAAAGCUAGGGGCACGAACCGGAUUAGAUACCCGGGUAGUCCUAGCCGUAAACGAUACUCGCUAGGUGUCGGCCACGGUGCGACCGUGGUCGGUGCCGUAGGGAAGCCGUGAAGCGAGCCACCUGGGAAGUACGGCCGCAAGGCUGAAACUUAAAGGAAUUGGCGGGGGAGCACUACAACGGGUGGAGCCUGCGGUUUAAUUGGAUUCAACGCCGGAAAUCUCACCGGGACCGACAGCGAUAUGAAGGCCAGGCUGAGACCUUGCCGGAUUAGCUGAGAGGUGGUGCAUGGCCGUCGUCAGUUCGUACUGUGAAGCAUCCUGUUAAGUCAGGCAACGAGCGAGACCCGCACC